GCCCAGGCAAUCGCGUAGCGCACAAACGCUUCGAGGAAAGUCCGGGCUCCACAGCACAGGGUGGUCGAUAACGUCGACUCAGGGUAACCUGCAGGCCAGUGCCACAGAAAACAAACCGCCCCCACCACGGGGUAAGGGUGAAAAGGUGAGGUAAAAGCUCACCAGUACCGCAGGCGACUGCGGUAGCUCGGUAAACCCCACCCGGAGCAAGGCCAAACAGGGCGCGCUAGUAACCAGUGCGGUGAAGCGCCCGGGUAGGCUGCUUGAACCCGCCGGCAACGGACGGGUCUAGAUGGAUGAUUGCCGCCUGCCUGCGGGUAGGUACAGAACCCGGCUUAUCGGGCGUCCCG
rnacentral:RNase_P_RNA from 1 species